AGUCCAGGCAAUCAGGAUCACUUAUGCAGCAUUUUUAUUAAACAGGAAUAAAACUAUUGCAUAUGUGAUCCUAAGUGCCUGGACU